rnacentral:misc_RNA from 1 species
CAUGGAAGUUAGCGGUGGCAUGUAAAUCAUGUGAUUGAUGUUUGCUAUAUUUCACCAUAUUCACUAUCAGUGAGAUCACAGAAUCUUUUCCAUACAAAUACUGAAUUACAAACUCCCUCUCUGGCAAUCUAAUCCAGCCAUUUAAAUAUCUUAAAAAGAAGGAAAAACUCUCCUUACGAUUUACAUGCCACCGCUAACUUCCAUGAUAUGAUCCAUGGGGAAAAAAAU